rnacentral:rRNA from 1 species
GACGAACGCUGGCGGCGUGCUUAACACAUGCAAGUCGAACGGAAAGGCCCUGCUUUUGUGGGGUGCUCGAUUGGCGAACGGGUGAGUAACACGUGUGUAACCUGCCCUUGUCUUUCGGAUAACUUCAGGAAACUGGGGCUAAUAUCGGAUAGGAGCUCCUGCUCCAUGGUGGGGGUUGGAAAGUUUCGGCGGUUGGGGAUGGACUCGCGGCUUAUGAGCUUGUUGGUGGGGUAGUGGCUUACCAAGGCUUUGACGGGUAGCCGGCCUGAGAGGGUGGCCGGCGACAUUAGUACUGAGAUACGGCGCAGACUCGUACGGGAGGCAGCAGUGGGGAAUAUGACACAAUGGGCGGAAGCCUGAUGCAGCGACGCCGCGUGCGGGAUGACGGCCUUCGGGUUAUAAACCGCUUUCGCCUGUGACGAAGCGUGAGUGACGGUAAUGGGUAAAGAAGCACCGGCUAACUACGUG